rnacentral:rRNA from 1 species
CACGUAGGGCGCAAGCGUUGUUCGGAAUUACUGGGCGUAAAGGGCUCGUAGGCGGCCAACUAAGUCAGACGUGAAAUCCCUCGGCUUAACCGGGGAACUGCAUCUGAUACUGGAUGGCUUGAGUUCGGGAGAGGGAUGCGGAAUUCCAGGUGUAGCGGUGAAAUGCGUAGAUAUCAGGAGGAACACCGGUGGCGAAGGCGGGUCUCUGGGCAGUAACUGACGCUGAGGAGCGAAAGCGUGGGGAGCGAACAGG